rnacentral:rRNA from 1 species
AUUAGCUAGUUGGUGGGGUAAAGGCCCACCAAGGCGACGAUCUGUAACUGGUCUGAGAGGAUGAUCAGUCACACCGGAACUGAGACACGGUCCGGACUCCUACGGGAGGCAGCAGUGGGGAAUAUUGGACAAUGGGGGCAACCCUGAUCCAGCCAUGCCGCGUGUGUGAAGAAGGCCUUUUGGUUGUAAAGCACUUUAAGCAGGGAGGAGAGGCUAAUGGUUAAUACCCAUUAGAUUAGACGUUACCUGCAGAAUAAGCACCGGCUAACUCUGUGCCAGCAGCCGCGGUAAUACAGAGGGUGCGAGCGUUUAUCGGAAUUACUGGGCGUAAAGCGAGUGUAGGUGGCUCAUUAAGUCACAUGUGAAAUCCCCGGGCUUAACCUGGGAACUGCAUGUGAUACUGGUGGUGCUAGAAUAUGUGAGAGGGAAGUAGAAUUCCAGGUGUAGCGGUGAAAUGCGUAGAGAUCUGGAGGAAUACCGAUGGCGAAGGCAGCUUCCUGGCAUAAUAUUGACACUGAGAUUCGAAAGCGUGGGUAGCAAACAGGAUUAGAUACCCUGGUAGUCCACGCCGU